GUACAAGCCAAAUUAAGGUGAAACCGCGAAAGGCUCAUUAAAUCAGUUAUGGUUCCUUAGAUCGUACCCACAUUUACUUGGAUAACUGUGGUAAUUCUAGAGCUAAUACAUGCAAACAGAGCUCCGACCGGAGACGGAAGGAGCGCUUUUAUUAGAUCAAAACCAAUCGGUGGCGGGUCCGCUCGUCAUCGUACAUUUUGGUGACUCUGAAUAACUUUUUGCUGAUCGCAAGGUCUCGCACCGGCGACGCAUCUUUCAAAUGUCUGCCUUAUCAACUGUCGAUGGUAGGUUCUGCGCCUACCAUGGUUGUAACGGGUAACGGGGAAUCAGGGUUCGAUUCCGGAGAGGGAGCCUGAGAAACGGCUACCACAUCCAAGGAAGGCAGCAGGCGCGCAAAUUACCCACUCCCGGCACGGGGAGGUAGUGACGAAAAAUAACGAUACGGGACUCAUCCGAGGCCCCGUAAUCGGAAUGAGUACACUCUAAACCCUUUAACGAGGAUCAAUUGGAGGGCAAGUCUGGUGCCAGCAGCCGCGGUAAUUCCAGCUCCAAUAGCGUAUAUUAAAGUUGUUGCGGUUAAAAAGCUCGUAGUCGAAUCUGUGUCCCGCGCCGCCGGUUCAUCGCUCGCGGUGUUCAACUGGCGUGUCGCGGGACGUCCUGCCGGUGGGCUUAGCUCGUUCUCGGGCGGCCCAACUUGAAAUCCCACCGCGGUGCUCUUGACUGAGUGUCGAGGUGGGCCGGCACGUUUACUUUGAACAAAUUAGAGUGCUUAAAGCAGGCUAAAAUUUCGCCUGAAUACUGUGUGCAUGGAAUAAUGGAAUAGGACCUCGGUUCUAUUUUGUUGGUUUUCGGAACCCCGAGGUAAUGAUUAAUAGGAACGGAUGGGGGCAUUCGUAUUGCGACGUUAGAGGUGAAAUUCUUGGAUCGUCGCAAGACGGACAGAAGCGAAAGCAUUUGCCAAAAACGCUUUCAUUGUCAAGAACGAAAGUUAGAGGUUCGAAGGCGAUCAGAUACCGCCCUAGUUCUAACCAUAAACGAUGCCAGCUAGCGAUCCGCCGACGUUCCUCCGAGACUCGGCGGGCAGCUUCC
rnacentral:rRNA from 1 species